UCAUCUACAGACUUACAAGCAAGCAUUUAGCAAGCAUAAAACUUGGUUAAAAGUAUGAAGUCAGCAUAGAAGUCAUAUCACUGAUUACCUAGACAGAAAUGCAGUCCUAUUCUGCAAGCUGAUCUGUAGUGCUAUGUGAUUCAAUAACAGAAGUAGUAUGAAAUUAAUAUGAAAUCAUGUAACGUAACUACAGGACCACACCUUCAUAGGUUUGCCUAUUUUAAAUCCUGUUCUUAGAUUUCUGGAGCAGAAGUCUUGAUUGUGCUAGACAGAUUACUACUGUUGCCUACUGUUAAGUAAGGCUACAGUAUUUGCAAUCUAAUGCCAUACUUGUUUCUAGCCUUGCAGAGAAAUCCAUGAAGGAUUUAAGUAAUAAGAAAUGUGACAAGAGCCUACAAAAACUCAAGAAAAAUAACUACAUCAAGAACCAGAAUGUUAAUGAGUUAUAUAAGGAUGAUCAAAUACAAAAAUCCUUUUCUGGGAAGAAUAGGUACAUAGGGGAAAAUAAAAAUGUGGAAGACGCUGACACAGAUCAAAUACAGAAAUUAGUAAGUGAAGCAACACAAGCCAGCAGACAUAGGCAAAUCAAUACAAGCUCACAUCAUCACUUUUAUUGGAUGCCUGCCACCUCUUAUGGAUUAAUCAUCACCACUGUCGUUAUCAAAACUAAAACAUCUAGUUGUCAAAAGCUUGAUGGUAAAAAGUUAAUCAAGUAACAUCAAUAAAUCACCAUUUCAUUUUUAAUAUUAGUCUGAUUGUCACAUUUUAAGAUCCUGGACAGAAGUCCUGAAGUAUAUAUUCAUGAUUGCUAUUGCAUGAUUCAAGUAAUUCUAGAAGUGUUGUAUUAACUUACAUGGCAGCUGUGAAAAUUGCUCUUGAAAAAAUGAUCUGUUUAUUGGCGAUGACACUAAUGAGACAACAAUUCCAAAAAGUGUCAUUCAGUUCAAUGAAGCAGAAAUCUGGAAAAAAAUA